rnacentral:rRNA from 1 species
AUGGCCUGUGUUAAGGCAAUAGGAGUUUUAUGCUUCCUAGUCUUUGUGGCCCUCUCUUCAUAUCCACACCGUGCACAAGCAGAUCACUGCUUCGCGGAUAAAAGUAAGGUGAUGAGGAAAUGCUGGAGGAACAUUGGGAAGAAUGUUGGCGAGCACCCCCUUCUACACGGGAGCGUCUGUUGCCAGGUGAUAAGGGCAGCAACAGACAUCCACUGCGUCUGUGAUAAAUUCACAAUUGAUGAACUGGCUAGGAUCAGUCUAGCCAAAUUUGCCAUGGCUACACAUGUAUGCGGCAAUGGGUUGCGUGCACACACUCACUGUGCAGGUUACACAGUUCCUGUUAUAACGCUACCUGCACCCCCACCUCCGGGCAGUACCUAG